rnacentral:rRNA from 1 species
ACACGGAGGAGCCGAGCGCUAUCCGGAUUUAUUGGGUUUAAAGGGUGCGCAGGCGGCCAUUUAAGUCAGCGGUUAAAUCGUGGGGCUCAACCCCAUUCUGCCGUUGAAACUGGGUGGCUUGAUUGCGGUCGAGGUUGGCGGAAUUCGUUGUGUUGCGGUGAAAUGCAUAGAGAUGACGAAGAACACCGAUUGCGUAGGCAGCUGACCAGACCGCAAAUGACGCUCAUGCACGAAAGUGCGGGGAUCGAACAGGAUUAGAUACCCUGGUAGUCCGCACAGUAAACGAUGAAUACUUGUUUUCGGCGAUAUAAUGUCGGAGGCAAAGCGAAAGCGAUAAGUAUUCCACCUGGGGAGUACGCCGGCAACGGUGAAACUCAAAUGAAUUGGCGGGG